rnacentral:rRNA from 1 species
UCGGCUUAGAGUUUGAUCAUGGCUCAGAUUGAACGCUGGCGGCAGGCCUAACACAUGCAAGUCGAGCGGUAGGGAAGCUUGCUUCUCACGAGCGGCGGACGGGUGAGUAAUGUAUGGGGAUCUGCCCGAUAGAGGGGGAUAACUACUGGAAACGGUAGCUAAUACCGCAUAAUCUCUAAGGAGCAAAGCAGUUCGUUGCGCUAUCGGAUGAACCCAUAUGGGAUUAGCUAGUUGGUGAGGUAAUGGCUCACCAAGGCGACGAUCCCUAUCUGGUCUGAGAGGAUGAUCAGCCACACUGGGACUGAGACACGGCCCACACUCCUACGGGAGGCAGCAGUGGGGAAUAUUGCACAAUGGGCGCAAGCCUGAUGCAGCCAUGCCGCGUGUAUGAAGAAGGCCUUAGGGUUGUAAAGUACUUUCAGUUGGGAGGAAGGCGUUGAUUAAUAUCAACGAUUGACGUUACCAACAGAAGAAGCACCGGCUAACUCCUUGCCAGCAGCCGCGGUAAUACUGAGGGUGCAAGCGUUAAUCGGAAUUACGGGCGUAAAGCGCACGCGGCGGGUGAUUAAGUUAGAUGUGAAAUCCCCGGGCUUAACCUGGGAAU